CUGACUGUUUUUUGAUCAACCACAUCGCUCUUUGCUCGUGAACUAGCCGGCAAGCUGAAAAAAAUGUGCUCACCCUGCGUGAGGUCAGUUUACUUACUACAAACUAUCGGUAGUAUGUACGCCGGCUAAUUUCCCAAGCUCGGGGAA
rnacentral:sRNA from 1 species